CUAUUAAGAGUUUGAUCCUGGCUCAGGCUGAACGCUGGCAGUAUGGAUAAGGCAUGCAAGUCGAACGAUCUCUUUUUUCAAUUUGGUAGCAAUACUAAAAAGAUUGUAGAGAUAGUGGCAAAUGGGUUAGUAACACGUUGGAAAUCUACCCGGAAGUGGGGAAUAAUUCACCGAAAGGUGAACUAAUACCCCAUGGUCUAUGAGAAUGAAAGUUCUCCUAGUAAAGAUUUAUCGCUUCCGGAAGAUCCUGCGUCCUAUCAGCUAGUUGGUGAGGUAAUGGCUCACCAAGGCUACGACGGGUAGGGGAUGUGAGAGCACGACCCCCAACACUGGAACUGCGACACGGUCCAGACACCUACGGGUGGCUGCAGUCGAGAAUCUUCGGCA
rnacentral:rRNA from 1 species